GUGUGGUUAAAAAUUUGUCUCAACUGGUGUGCAGUGGCUGCAGAUAGCAGCCUCCUGGGUAGUGUAUGCAGCCUGUUGCUUGUAUAGGUUGCUCUGAGGGACCUUGGAGACAUUC
ensembl:snoRNA SNORA70 Small nucleolar RNA SNORA70